rnacentral:rRNA from 1 species
UACGAAGGGAGCUAGCGUUGUUCGGAAUCACUGGGCGUAAAGCGCACGUAGGCGGAUGUGCCAGUCAGGGGUGAAAUCCCGGAGCUCAACUUCGGAACUGCCCUUGAUACAGCACGUCUUGAGUCCGAGAGAGGUGGAUGGAAUUCCUAGUAUAGAGGUGAAAUUCGUAGAUAUUAGGAAGAACACCGGUGGCGAAGGCGGUCCACUGGCUCGGUACUGACGCUGAGGUGCGAAAGCGUGGGGAGCAAACAGG